GUACUUGCUUUGGCAGCACAUAUACUAAAAUUGGAACGAUACAGAGAAGAUUAGCAUGGCCCCUGCACAAGGAUGGCACGCAAAUUCGUGAUGCGUUCCAUAUUUUU
rnacentral:snRNA from 1 species